rnacentral:misc_RNA from 1 species
CUUGACUACCUUCAGGAUCAGAAGAAUGAAGUCAACCACGAAAUUAUCCUGCUUCUUGCAGCUCCUUGUCCUCUUUUUCCUCCGCCAAUCUUCGGUCUCAUCGCCAUUCACCACCGCUAAUUCAAGCUCUACAUUUCCCAGUGAAGCUCUCCCAACCAAAUCCGGCUACCUACCCAUCAACUCCAACACCAAUUCGGCCAUUUUCUACACCUUCUAUGAA